rnacentral:RNase_P_RNA from 1 species
CGAGUCGGUCGGACGGUCGCGUCACCGGGCAACCGGUGCCGAGGAACGUCCGGGCUCCGAAGGGCAAGGUGGUGGCUAACAGCCACCCGGGGCGACCCGCGGGACAGUGCCACAGAGAACAGACCGCCGUCGUGACCCGUCACGGCGGUAAGGGUGAAACGGUGGUGCAAGAGACCACCAGCGCGCCUGGUGACAGGCGCGGCUCGGUAAACCCCACCUGGAGCAAGGUCAGACAGGGAGCGAUCGAGGGCGGCCCGCCCGAGCUCCCGGGUAGACCGCUCGAGCCCUGCGGCAACGCAGGGCCUAGAUGGAUGACCGUCGGCCGGCCCUGGGCAACCGGGGGCGGUCACAGAACCCGGCGUACAGACCGACUCGUCCG